UUUUUUUUUUUGAGACGGAGUCUUGCUCUGUUGCCCAAGCUGGAGUGCAGUGGCAUAAUCUCCGCUCUCCACAACCUCCACCUUCUGGGUUCAAGCAAUUCUCCUGCCUCAGCCUCCCGAGUAGCUGGGUUUACAGGCGCACGCCACCAUGCCCAGCUAAUUUUUUGUAUUUUUAGUAGAGAUGGGGUUUCACCAUGUUGGCCAGGGUGGUCUUGAACUCCUGACCUCAGGUGAUCCGCCCGCCUCGGCCUCCCAAAGUGCUGGGAUUAAAGGCAUAAGCCACCGCGCCCAGCCU